CGUAGGGGGCUAACGUUGUCCGGAUUUAUUGGGCGUAAAGCGCGUGUAGGCGGCCGGCUAGGUCUGGUGUGAAAACUCGAGGCUCAACCUCGAGAUGUCGCCGGAAACCAGUCGGCUAGAGUCCGGAAGGGGAGAGUGGAAUUCCUGGUGUAGCGGUGAAAUGCGCAGAUAUCAGGAAGAACACCUAUGGCGAAAGCAGCUCUCUGGGACGGUACUGACGCUGAGACGCGAAAGCGUGGGGAGCGAACAGGAUUAGAUACCCUGGUAGUCCACGCCGUAAACGAUGGGCGCUAGGUGUGGGCGGUGUCGACUCCGUCCGUGCCGAAGCUAACGCAUUAAGCGCCCCGCCUGGGGAGUACGGCCGCAAGGCUA
rnacentral:rRNA from 1 species